GAUGAACGCUGGCGGCGUGCCUAAUACAUGCAAGUCGAGCGAACGGACGAGAAGCUUGCUUCUCUGAUGUUAGCGGCGGACGGGUGAGUAACACGUGGAUAACCUACCUAUAAGACUGGGAUAACUUCGGGAAACCGGAGCUAAUACCGGAUAAUAUUUUGAACCGCAUGGUUCAAAAGUGAAAGACGGUCUUGCUGUCACUUAUAGAUGGAUCCGCGCUGCAUUAGCUAGUUGGUAAGGUAACGGCUUACCAAGGCAACGAUGCAUAGCCGACCUGAGAGGGGGACCGACCCCCCUGAGGCGGGGACACGGUCCGGACUCCAACGGGGGGCAGAGGUGGAGAAUCUUCCCAAAUUGAGGAAAGCCUGAGGGGACAACGCCCCGGGAGUGAAGAAGGUCUUCGGAUGGAAAAAUUCUGUUAUUAGGAAAAAAAAUUGGUGUAAGUAACUUGCAAAUUAUGGGGGGUACCAAAUCGAGAAGCCCCGGCUAACUCCU
rnacentral:rRNA from 1 species